UUUUAUGGGCUUUAUAGUACUUUGGUUCAACCCUUUUAUUACAGACACGUAUUUUAUUUGUGGGGUACAACUGGAUUCCACUCCACUGCUUUUCACGCUCUUCACUGAUUUUGGCCAUUUCAUCUUCUUCAUCAAGCCUAUUUCUUUUUUAUUCUUAGUAUUGUUCCCUUUCUCUUCACUUAAGGUCAUGCUUAUCCAUGCCUUCUUCAUUCUCCACUUUGGAUUUAGCUUUUGUAGGUGAAUUUUGGUUUUAAUUUUUCUGUUGAUUUCUGGGUCUUCUUUUACCUAAUUGAUUGGAUAUUUUUUUCAAUUGUUGUUGCUUUUUAGUAGUUGGAUUUUUAUAAUCAUGCACCUGUUUUCAACUUUUGCAUAUUUCUUGUCAAUUGUCAAAUGCAACUGAUCGGUCACCUUUAAUUCUAAAAGAUUUCACACUUUCUCUAUUUUUAAUUUCCUCCUACCUAUCUCUUUCUCUAUCUUCUCCAUUGGAGUUAAUAGUAUUCUGCUAUGGAUACGCUCUUCAAAAUACACAUGCAUCCUGAUCUGCCAGAUAAAAUCCAAAAGCCUAAGGACGGAAUGAAGAGAAUAUUUCUGAGUUCUGCUAAAUUUUACUCUAUUCUUUCCGGAUGCAUGGUCUACUUGAUAGUGAACUGCGGACGGCUCAUAUUAAGAGGUAAGAGAAUGCGGUUUUUGCUUUCUUAAUAUACUAUAAGAGUUCUUCGGUCAAUUUAAUUUUGAUAUUAAUGAUCAUGAUAUUUCAUUUACUGCAAUUUCGAUAUUUAUAGCAUAUAAAAGUAGUGAAUGAUUCCUAUUGGUUUCUGGAACAUUGGGAUCUAUUCAUGACAAAAUGGUUGCAUGAAAAUAUAAAUGAAGCUUGAGAGAACUGUGUUGGAAAAAAUAACUUUUUUGAUGUUUGGGUGAUAAAACGAUCUUCUCUUUUCCAUUUUCAAUGUAAUUUUUCUUCUAGGAUAAUUAUGUAUUACAUAUAUUUCUGAUAUUGAGUAUUUUGAGUUUUCAUGUUAAAGAGUUACGUAAAUAAAGAAUCUCCUUUAUUGUCGACAAGUUUGACUGACUGAUAGCUUUCCAAAAGCAAAAGGUGAUUAGGUUGAGGGGUACAUAAAUGUAUUAGUCUAUGAUUAGAUAUUUAUCCUUUAUAAUAUUCUAAAAAAUGAAGGACUGUAGUAAAUCGUUUAAGGAGUCCAGGUAAAUACUUCAUCCCAGUGAAAAGCAUAUGAAGAAACCGAAGUCUCAAUUUGACUUGUCAGACAGUUUGAAGUUAGUAAAAUAUUAUUUUCUGUGGGAAUGAAUCAUUAACAUUGUAGAUGAGUUUUCGUCAUGCAAGAAAACAUUGCAUGAUCAUGAUUAUGCCACUUUUAAAACAUAGUUUUGUCAAUAGACGCCAAUUGGCAUUUCAAGAAAAUGAAUAUUGGAAAACUUGAAACUGAAAAUUACCUGGGUAAUUCUGCUAUUACUUACCCUUUGUUAUUUAGUUUUGACAUUCUUAUCAAUAAGUAUCUCUCUGUGCCUCAUUAGUGUUUUGGUCUUGCCAUUAGUUGGAGCAAUCUUCUCCAUAACGUAUUAUAUUUGCACUUGCAAGUAAUAACAUGUUUGAACUGUAGCCUGUCAGAAUAGCAGACACUUCAAUUGAUCUAAGUUAUUCUUUACCGAAUGUAGGUGUAACGUUUAUGUGCUAGCUUCUAUCUCCUAACUCAUCAUUAGAGGACCUUAAACGGCCUUAAGAGGUGAGUAUAUAAGAAAAGCAAACAGAUAAUGGAGAAUUAUUUUGGGAUAAAUCCUCCAUGUAAUGUGGUUUUAUUCUGUUUUACUCUUAUUUUUCUCCAGUAAUGUUUAUCUUGUGUAGUAAUAUUUGCCUUGUGUAAUAAGUAGUUUGCCCUCUCUAAUAUGAUUCAAUUAAAAUACUCACUUACAAAUAUUCCUUUUGAUAGCCAAAGUAUAAAUCUACAUAGAUACUUACAACUUUAUACAAAAGGCUACUCUGUUGUUUCCAAUGUAGUGGUGCUUAAUAUAUUUUCUCUAACAAGCAGAUUUUUAACCAGUGAUCUUUGGUACCGGUGGUUUUAUGCUAUAGUAUCAAGAUGUUAUCUAAUGCAAGCCAUCAACCUCCAUAUACAUGGUAUGUAAAAAGGUAGAAAUGUCAUGGUUCUUUUUGCUUCUUUGAGUGGUCAAUAUAUUUAUGUGAUUAAUAUAACCACGGAAAUAUUAUGGUAAAUUAGAGUUUGGUAGCAAGUAAUUGAUUGAGUUUUUCCAUGAAAUAGUGUUGAAAAAUUACUCUGCAUAUAGUUGGAGAAUUCUGGAUGAUGCAAAUAAUCUCAAGUAUGAGGUAUAGAAGUAUGUGUAUCUUGCCAAGGAGUAGAAUCUUGAAUGAGGUUGGAGGUUAAAGAAAGCUUGGUUUGUGACAUGACUCAUCUUAAUUCUACUAUCCUUAAAUCCACUUGCCUUUUUCAUGAAAGCCGCUAUGAAGUGCUAGAUGUUGAUUUGUUAAAAAUCUGAUGGAAGUAUACAAUCACUAUCUAAGGCAAUAAUACGAUGCAAUCCCUUUGUUGCCAAAUUUUUCUAUUUAUCCAUUUAACGGAGUCAAUAAUAUGAUUCACAACAUUAGAAAAUUAUGGUGGAAUUUAAUUAAUAAAGAACGAAGAACUGUGCAUUCUUCCAAACUACUACAUGCUUGAUUAACGGACCUCAACGCCAAUUUAUGUCUGUUGGUCACUUUUAUACCAAAUGGUCAUGUCGAAGAAGCCAAGUUCUUUGCACAGAUGAACUGAGAAAUCUCCUUAUUUACAUGUGUAAGCGUCUGGUCAUCCAACUCUUCACUAUUUUUCAAGUUCCUUUCUUUGUUGUUUCUGUUUUUCAGUUAGUAUGACUGUUAGAUGAAGUUCAUAAUGUUGUUCUUCAUUUUCUAAGUGUAUCUGGAUGAGAAAAAGUUGAUAUGGGCUUCCCAAAAUAUAGUCAAUCCAAGUCCAAAAUAGAGGAUGGGAUAGUACUAGCUUGAUGACGAGAUCAUGAAAGACCUAUUGCUAUGCAGCAGGCCAAGCGCUAUGUGCGAAGUUUGGUAUUUAUGCAAGUCUGUGAUUGCAACUUAAUAUAUGAGGAGGUGACAAAACAUUGUCUAAGUGCCAAACUUAAACUUCAUUUUGAGAUGGCAUCAUGGGAGACACUUCAUGUAACAUCUGUUUCAUUCUUUGAGCCAAUAGGCAGAAGGGUAAUUGGCGAAGAUGUAUUCAUAUUGAUAGUAUAUUGAUUUUAUUCAUUUCUUUUUUGGCACCAUGUGAUGGUGCAAAAUCACUUUGACAGUAUUUGGUUAUUGGGCCUUCUAAGUUAAA